GUCAAGAUCGUGAGGAAUCCUCCCGAGUCCAAACUCACCGAGCUCGGAGUCCGCUCAUGGCCCAAGUGGGGUUGCCCUGCAAGCAAAUUCCCAUGGACAUAUUCUGCCAAGGAAAUAUGCUAUCUUCUGGAGGGAAAAGUGAAAGUUUAUCCUGAUGGAUCAACUGAGGCUGUUGAAAUUGGUGCUGGUGAUUUGGUUGAGUUUCCCAAAGGAAUGAGCUGCACUUGGGAUGUUUCUGUAGGUGUAGACAAGCACUACAAGUUUGAGUAAUGUUUAUCUUUUCUUUUUCUCAAUAUACAUAUAUACAUAAACUAUUUGCUGCUUGUAUGAAUUUGCAACUAUUUU
rnacentral:misc_RNA from 1 species